rnacentral:rRNA from 1 species
UACGAAGGGGGCUAGCGUUACUCGGAAUUACUGGGCGUAAAGGGCGCGUAGGCGGCGCUCCAAGUUAGGCGUGAAAGUCCUGGGCUCAACCUGGGAACUGCGCUUGAUACUGGAGUGCUUGAGGAUGGAAGAGGGUUGUGGAAUUCCCAGUGUAGAGGUGAAAUUCGUAGAUAUUGGGAAGAACACCGGUGGCGAAGGCGGCAACCUGGUCCAUUACUGACGCUGAGGCGCGACAGCGUGGGGAGCAAACAGG